rnacentral:rRNA from 1 species
UACGGGGGGAGCAAGCGUUGCUCGGAAUCACUGGGCGUAAAGGGUGCGUAGGCGGGUCUUUAAGUCAGGGGUGAAAUCCUGGAGCUCAACUCCAGAACUGCCUUCGAUACUGGGUAUCUUGAGUUCGGAAGAGGUGAGUGGAAUUGCGAGUGUAGAGGUGAAAUUCGUAGAUAUUCGCAGGAACACCAGUGGCGAAGGCGGCUCACUGGUCCGAUACUGACGCUGAGGUGCGAAAGCGUGGGGAGCAAACAGG